rnacentral:rRNA from 1 species
GCGAACGGGUGAGUAAUGCAUCGGAACGUGCCCAGUCGUGGGGGAUAACUGCUCGAAAGAGCAGCUAAUACCGCAUACGACCUGAGGGUGAAAGCGGGGGACCGUAAGGCCUCGCGCGAUUGGAGCGGCCGAUGUCAGAUUAGCUAGUUGGUGGGGUAAAGGCCUACCAAGGCAACGAUCUGUAGUUGGUCUGAGAGGACGACCAGCCACACUGGGACUGAGACACGGCCCAGACUCCUACGGGAGGCAGCAGUGGGGAAUUUUGGACAAUGGGCGCAAGCCUGAUCCAGCAAUGCCGCGUGCAGGAAGAAGGCCUUCGGGUUGUAAACUGCUUUUGUCAGGGAAGAAAUCUUCUGGGCUAAUACCCCGGGAGGAUGACGGUACCUGAAGAAUAAGCACCGGCUAACUACGUGCCAGCAGCCGCGGUAAUACGUAGGGUGCGAGCGUUAAUC